UCUCCGUUGGUGAACCAGCGGAGGGAUCAUUACAGAGUUAUCUAACUCCCAAACCCAUGUGAACUUACCAUUUGUUGCCUCGGCAGUGGUGUCUCUUCCCCGUCCGCGGGGAUGGGGGCAGCCUGCCGGUGGACUACCAAACUCUUGUUAUUUUAUUGUAAUCUGUGCGUCUUAUUUUAAUAAGUCAAAACUUUCAACAACGGAUCUCUUGGUUCUGGCAUCGAUGAAGAACGCAGC
rnacentral:misc_RNA from 1 species